UACGAAGGGGGCUAGCGUUGCUCGGAAUCACUGGGCGUAAAGGGUGCGUAGGCGGGUCUUUAAGUCAUACGUGAAAUCCCUCAGCUUAACUGGGGAACUGCGUCUGAUACUGGUUGGCUUGAGUGCAGGAGAGGAACGCGGAAUUCCAGGUGUAGCGGUGAAAUGCGUAGAUAUCGGAAGGAACAUCAGUGGCGAAAGCGACUUCCUGGACCAAUACUGACGCUCAUGUGCGAAAGCGUGGGGAGCAAACAGG
rnacentral:rRNA from 1 species